UACAGAGGUCUCAAGCGUUGUUCGGAUUCAUUGGGCGUAAAGGGUGCGUAGGUGGCGGGGUAAGUCAGGUGUGAAAUUUCGGAGCUUAACUCCGAAACUGCAUUUGAUACUGCCUUGCUUGAGGACUGGAGAGGAGACUGGAAUUCACGGUGUAGCAGUGAAAUGCGUAGAUAUCGUGAGGAAGACCAGUGGCGAAGGCGGGUCUCUGGACAGUUCC
rnacentral:rRNA from 1 species